AAUUAGCAUUAUUAAUUUUUAAUUAGAAGUGAAAUAUUAAACGAUUUUAAAUAUAUCUAGUUUUUUUAGAAUUGAAUUAAAUUCAGCUUUAAAAUUUUUAAAAUAAAUUAAUUUAAUUUAUUUUUAUUAAUUAAAUAUUUUAAAGUAAAUAUAUUCGGGAUAAAUUGAUUAUAUAAUUUAUAAAUUAAUUUAAAUUAUAUUUUAAAAGUAAUUAUAAAAUUAUAUUUCUUUUUAAAAAAUGUUUUAAUUUAUAUUUUUAAAUUUAAAUAAAGAUAAUUUUAAUUUUUAUUUUAAUAAUUUAUAAAAAUUUAAUAAUAAAUUAUUUUUUAUAAAAAAUAAUGAUUAUAUAAGUAAAUAUUAAAAUUAAAUGAAAAAAUAAUAAUAAAAUUUUAAAAUUUAAGUUUAAGGAAUUAGGCAAAUAUUUUUAAAAAAUAUAAUUUAUAUUUACCUGUUUAUCAAAAACAUGUCUUAUUGAUUUAAAUAAUAAGUUUAUUCUGCCCAUUGAAAUAAAAAUUUUAAAAGGCUGCAGUAUAUUAACUGUACAAAGGUAGCAAAAUCAAUAGUUUUUUAAUUGAAAACUUGAAUGAAAGAAUUAAUAAAAUAUAUUCUGUCUCAAAUUUAAUUAAUUUAUUAAAUUUAAAUAAAAAGUUAAAAUGCUUUUAUUGAUUUAUUAGACGAUAAGACCCUAAGAAUUUAAGAAUUUUAUUUUAUAAUUAAAUUUUAUAAUUAAUUAAUUAAUAAAUUAAUUUUUUUUUAUUGGGAGGGUAAUUAAAUUUUUAAACUUUAAUUAUUUAUAAA
rnacentral:rRNA from 1 species